CAACGCGAAAAACCUUACCCACCUUUGACAUGGCAGGAACUUACCAGAGAUGGUUUGGUGCUCGAAAGAGAACCUGCACACAGGUGCUGCAUGGCUGUCGUCAGCUCGUGUCGUGAGAUGUUGGGUUAAGUCCCGCAACGAGCGCAACCCUUGCCAUUAGUUGCUACGAAAGGGCACUCUAAUGGGACUGCCGGUGACAAACCGGAGGAAGGUGGGGAUGACGUCAAGUCCUCAUGGCCCUUAUAGGUGGGGCUACACACGUCAUACAAUGGCUGGGUACAAAGGGUCGCCAACCCGCGAGGGGGAGCCAAUCCCAUAAAGCCAGUCGUAGUCCGGAUCGCAGUCUGCAACUCGACUGCGUGAAGUCGGAAUCGCUAGUAAUCGUGGAUCAGAAUGUCACGGUGAAUACGUUCCCGGGUCUUGUACACACCGCCCGUCACACCAUGGGAGCGGGUCUCGCCAGAAGUAGGUAGCCUAACCGCAAGGAGGGCGCUUACCACGGCGGGGUUCGUGACUGGGGUGAAGUCGUAACAAGGUAGGCGUACGUGU
rnacentral:rRNA from 1 species